CAUAAAAACUGUUACUUAUUUUAGUAAACUGGAUUUAAUGUUAAUAUAGGUUUUAUAAUAUAAUUUUAGAGUCUUUCUUUGUGUGCACUGCGGACAGAAAUGAUUAUUAUUAAUAUUUAAUAUAUAACACUGGCACAUAAUUCAGCACUGAAAGGGAUAUAGUAGGCAUAAGGUGAAUAGUCAGCUCUCUGAAGUUGAUGUGUAAAAGCAUACGAAUCUGAAACACUUUGACAACAUCCAAACUGUGAUGUUCUAGAAGACUGGAUCAGAAUGUAUGCAGUGGUCAUUUUCUACCAAACAUUCUCCAAGGAACAACAACCAGUAAUCUGGUGAUUAUAAGGCUCAUUGAUACUCAUGGAGGCUCCGCCCAUCUCAAAGCUUACACGCCUUUACCGGGUCAGAGCUGUCAUGGUGGCACGAGGGGCUAAUACAAAAUUUUGUGGAGACCCCUUUUACUGAAUGCAUUGAGCUGAGGAGCAGUGGAACUGUGUUCUCUGGAAUGACGGAGCUCCAUCCAGUACUUUGGAAUGAGGUGCACUCUAAGAAAUAUAAGAACAGAUUCGUACUUAAAAGAGUACAAAGCUUGUCGCUGGGGCUGUACCUUAUAUUGAGGUACAAAAAGUACCUUUCAGUGAAAGUCCUUUUUUGUACCCCUGGUUUUUGUGCCAGUAAAGAUUAUAAAGAUUAUAAACAUUAUCAUCAACUAAAUAUGGCUCAAAAACUUGAUGAUCCAAAAUUGUCUGGCUUUUUAAAAAAAAUGGGCAAUUAAAAAAUAUAUUGUUUAUUAGUGCAGUGAUACAGAAUACUGAAUGUACCUUUUGGCCGAAUAAAUGGUACAAUUUUGUACUUAUUGCUGUUAGGAAUGACUUUGUACAACAAAAUCUGACCCUGUAAAGACCGAUAUUGUACCUUUGAGGGUACAAUUAUGAAGAGUGUACCCUUGACUACAAAAAAGUACUCAUAUCGUACCUCUGUUUUUUAGAGUGUGGGGUGGUGAUCACCUAACAUCCUGAUCUCAUUAAUGCUUUUGUUGCUGAAUGCAAUCAACUCUCACAGCAAUGCUCCAAAAUCUAGUAUAAAGCUUUUCCUCCACAGCAGAGCCAGAUACUUACAAACAGAAUAAACUAUUUUCAAAUUCCCCUAAUAUCAAAAGAAACAAUAAAUAAUCAUGUGUCAGUGAAAUGUUUACCUAAACGUAACAUUUACUGAAUAAAACUCAGGUUUCUAUGCUGGAACUGUUUAAUGAAAAUGUUUAUUAUGCAGCAGUGAGAAAAUUUGGCUGCUUUCCAUAAGGACUCAAUAAGUUCUUUUUCUCCAUAACCACAGCUUUUUUCACUAGUUUCUCUCUUUCUGUGUGUGUGUGUGUGUGUGUGUGUGUGAGUGUGUGAGUGUGUGUGUGUGUGUGUGUGUGUGAGUGUGUGUGUGAGUGAGUGUGUGUGUGUGUCUCACAGGGUCACUUAUGAAUGUAGUUGACAGGCCUGUUCUGGCCCACCCGCUCCACCUUGCUGUCUCUGCUGUGAUUCACUGCGUUUCCGGAUGAAGCUUUUGGUACCUCAGGCUGUGAGGAGCUCCAGUUCCCUCAGCUUUUUGACUGGACACACAGUUUUCACCAGGCAACACACUUUUUCCCUGGCUGGGAUGCAAAGGAUGGAAUGCGGGUUCGUUAUGGGGCUGUGGCUCGGCAUGCUGCUCCUAAUCCAAACCACAAGCCUGGACCCGCCCAGCUCCGAGGUCAGGAUUAUAUCGGCAUUCAUCCGCAGGGUGACAGGCGACAGCGACACUGUUGGAUGAAAUGGAGGUGAACGCUCGUGGGCGAGAGUUAGCAUAGCGUGGUGCUGACUCAGUUCAGUACAGUGCAGGUUAUUAUAGCAGGAGGGGGUGUGAGCGCUCCUUUAAAGAAAGAUCAAUUCAACUUUCACUGAAAGAACUGUGUCGAAAUCAAAUCACAGUCGGAACACCUCGCCAUAUGUUUGAUUACGUAAAAUGGAAACUUGAGUUUGGCACCGACACAAAACACCAAAUAAACAACAAAACACAAUUCAUGAGGGAUUAAACCAAUGCCUGUACAGACACAUGCCUUAUAUAUAGCCACUGGAUUAAACACAGUGAAUAGAAAUGAAUAGACAAUUUAAAUAUUAAAUUGGAUAAAAAAAACUUUUUUAAACAUCUUUUUCAAGCAUAUAUUUGAUAUAUGUAAAAUUGUUCAAGGAUUACACACUGCCUGGCCAAAAAAAAAUAAAGUCACCAUCUUUAUUUAAGUAAGUUAAUGCUGAAGUUGAUCAGGUGUAGUGUAUGUGCUAAAAGAAUGAAGUCAGCUGACUACUGAAUAUACUGAAGAUAGCAUGAUCCAGCAUGAUAAUGACCCCAACACACCUCUAGGAGGCUGUGCGUAAAGGUGAUGGACUGGCCAAGCAUGUCUCCAGACCUAAACCCAAUAAAAAAUUUUCGGGGCAUCCUCAAGCGGAAGGUGGAGGAGCUCAAAGUCAUUAAUAUCCGCCAGCUCCGUGAUGUCAUCAUGGAGGAGUGGAAAAUCAUUCCAGUGGAACCUGUGAAGCUCUGGUAAACUCCAUGCCCAGGAGAGUUAAGGCAGUUCUGGAAAAUAAUUAACACAAAGUAUUGACACUUCAGGAACUUUCACUAAGGGGUGUACUCACUUUUGUUGCCGGUGGUUUAGACAUUAAUGGCUGUAUAUUAAGGUAU